UACAGAGGUCUCAAGCGUUGUUCGGAUUCAUUGGGCGUAAAGGGUGCGUAGGUGGCGCGGUAAGUCGGGUGUGAAAUUUCGGAGCUUAACUCCGAAACUGCAUUCGAUACUGCCGUGCUUGAGGAUUGGAGAGGAGACUGGAAUUUACGGUGUAGCAGUGAAAUGCGUAGAGAUCGUAAGGAAGACCAGUGGCGAAAGGCGGGGUCUCUGGACAGUUCCUGACACUGAGGCACGAAGGCCAGGG
rnacentral:rRNA from 1 species